rnacentral:rRNA from 1 species
CGGAGGGUGCAAGCGUUAUCCGGAUUUACUGGGUUUAAAGGGUGUGUAGGCGGGCAUUUAAGUCAGCGGUGAAAUCUCCGGGCUCAACCUGGAAACUGCCAUUGAUACUAUUUGUCUUGAAUUCUGUUGAGGUUGGCGGAAUAUGUCAUGUAGCGGUGAAAUGCAUAGAUAUGACAUAGAACUCCGAUUGCGAAGGCAGCUAACUAAGCAGACAUUGACGCUGAGGCACGAAAGCGUGGGGAUCAAACAGGAUUAGAUACCCUGGUAGUCCACGCCCUAAACGAUGAUUACUCGACAUACGCGAUACACAGUGUGUGUCUGAGCGAAAGCAUUAAGUAAUCCACCUGGGAAGUACGACCGCAAGGUUG